UUUGGUUCUCAGCCAUUUGGCUAAGAUCAAGAAUAAUACCUUGUUUGUAUCAGUUUAAUAUCUGAUACUUCACUUGUCUAGGGAGCAUAUAUUAAAUAGAUUUUUGGAACAGGGAGAUGGAGUAGGGACUUGCUCCAUUCCAUUGCAGUGCUUCGAUAAAGGGCGGCACGGUGGCGCAGCAGUA